rnacentral:sRNA from 1 species
UUGUUUUAAAUCGCACAGACAUGCGCAGCAGCAAGCUUACUUACCAAAACAAACAAUCUGAAGUCUUUGUGAUUCAAGAUUUUAUGUAUUAUUUAGUCUUUCUGAAAUGAAUUUAAGACAUUGUCUCUUCUUAUAAAUAUUGUUCGGAAUUUGGAUAAGUGCUCCUACUUUUAAUGAUGUAGCUGAUGAAGAUCAGGUUGCAAAAUUUAUUUGCUGGUAUAGGAGAAAACUCUUCUGUGUUAUGAUGUCUAUUACAAUUGGGUUCGAGUAACUAGACAAACUGAGAUGGCAUUCACAUGGUGUUUAAAGAUUUAAGUAAAUUAAAGUCAUGGUUAACUGACCUGAAUGUGAGUACUGAGAAACUCCAGAAACUGCUAUGUCUUUUGCUAGGUUUGAAGUAUUGCUUGAGUCAAAGGUUGUGUAACUGGUUUACCUGCAUUGAAUAGGAACAGUAUUAGAUUCAAAUUGAGUUGGCUGCCAAAGUAAGGAUUGAAUUACUUGGAACUUACACUGAAGACAAUGCUUCUCAAGUUGGAGAUGAUACUCAUAAGUGUAUUGUGACCUCCCUUGGUGAUCCCAAUACAUUUUAAUGGACCACCUACUGGCCCUAGAACCUGUACGUUUCCUGGAAGGAGAAUUAAUUCAUAAUUUCCUCACCAUAUUUGUAUCAUUCUACUUGACUUUUGAUGCUGUCACCAAAGAUUUUGUGAACUCUUUAGGAUUUUGAAUAAUGUCAAGCAUUGUUUGUUGCAGUUGUUUUAUUGAAGUUCUUCAGAACUCUUCUAAGGUUAAGUGCAAGCGAUUCUAUGGGGACAAAGAUAUUUAAAUUCUCUGUUGUCUUUAUUAUAUUUAAAAUUGAAUGUGAAAUAUAAAUAGAAAUUUGUGCCAUUUUUGUAUUGUUUAUGGAUAUGUCUUUGUAUGA